GUGCAUGCUUCGGCAGCACAUAUACUAUACCUGGAACGAUACAGAGAAGAUUAGCAUAGGCCCUGCACAAGGAUAACGUGCAAAUUCAUGAAGAGUUUGUUAUUUUU